UACAGAGGGUGCAAGCGUUAAUCGGAAUUACUGGGCGUAAAGCGCACGUAGGCGGUUUUUUAAGUCAGAUGUGAAAGCCCCGGGCUCAACCUGGGAAUUGCAUUUGAAACUGGGAAACUAGAGUGUGUGAGAGGGGGGUAGAAUUCAAAGUGUAGCGGUGAAAUGCGUAGAGAUUUGGAGGAAUACCAGUGGCGAAGGCGGCCCCCUGGCACAACACUGACGCUCAGGUGCGAAAGCGUGGGGAGCAAACAGG
rnacentral:rRNA from 1 species